GGGGUAAUAGAUCAGUGGUACAGAGCGUGUGCUUGCCAUGUAUGAAGUCCUGGGCUCAAUCCCAGUGCCCCCA
rnacentral:tRNA from 1 species